rnacentral:rRNA from 1 species
AGCGAACGCUGGCGGCAGGCUUAACACAUGCAAGUCGAGCGGGCAUCCUUGUGGUGUCAGCGGCAGACGGGUGAGUAACGCGUGGGAACGUGCCCUUCGGUUCGGAAUAACUCAGGGAAACUUGAGCUAAUACCGGAUACGUGCGAGAGCAGAAAGGUUUAUCUGCCGAAGGAUCGGCCCGCGUCUGAUUAGCUAGUUGGUGAGGUUACGGCUCACCAAGGCGACGAUCAGUAGCUGGUCUGAGAGGAUGAUCAGCCACACUGGGACUGAGACACGGCCCAGACUCCUACGGUAGGCAGCAGUGGGGAAUAUUGGACAAUGGGGGCAACCCUGAUCCAGCCAUGCCGCGUGAGUGAUGACGGCCUUAGGGUUGUAAAGCUCUUUUCUCCGGGACGAUAAUGACGGUACCGGAGGAAUAAGCCCCGGCUAACUUCGUG